rnacentral:lncRNA from 1 species
AGACAGCCCCACUUCUAUGCCUGCACGCUGGAGACCCAGGAGAGGGGAUGGUCCGACUUCAAAGGCUUGAGGACAGAAGACAGUCCUCACACUGGCAGUUUGCAGACCCAGGGAAAACCUGACUUUUCAGGAAGAAUCUAGAGGGUGGGAAAAGAUCAGUGUUCCAGCAUGUACUCCAGACAGGAGGGCUUCUCUCUUACGGUUUUUUUAUUCAAUUCAAUUCAACUACUUGGAUGAAGCCAACACAUAGGAGAGAGGGCAAUCUCUUUUCUCCACAUCCUAGGUUCAGACAUGCAUCUCGUCCCAAACACUGCACAGACACCUGCAGAACAACGGCAGAACAAUGGCCAACCUGGGGCACCCCACGGCCCAGCCCCGUUGACACUUAGAGUCAACUAUCAAACACUGUCCCUGCAAAGCAUCAGACAUGGGAAACACGAUGGCAAGUGUGCGCUUUGUUCUCAGGAAGAUGCUAGUCUAGAAGACAGGGGCAGGCUUGUGAAAAUGAGCUCUCCAUGCACGGUGAUAGAACAGCAGUGCCAGCUAUGGGGAAGGGCUUUACUUUCAGCCUUGGAAGCAUUCCCCUGGUGCCUCCAGGCAGAAUAUGACAUAUACCAACAGACUGAAACCAGCACCUGUGAGAAGCAAAUCCAUGACCGCUAAAACAUUCAGCCUUGGGUGGGACAGAACAAACUCUCCUCUCCUUGAAGUUGUGCCAGCAAAAGGGCACAGUUUCCCUGGCUCUGCAGCCUGGUCAGAAAGCAACUCACAGGGCACUUGGAAUUUGCAGCGCUGCUCAGACUCCAGUGGCACCAUCUGGACUGGAUUAUAGCAGUGGGGCUGCUUCCGACCAGUGCGCCCCUUGUGUUCUGCAUGACACUUAGCUGAAUUACUGGUCCUACCGUCUGAAUGUUGCAGUCUCUUCUUGAUUUGUUUGUUCACUCUCUGGGCCACUAAUCACAUCAGUGAGCAGAGGCUGUGUAAGGAAAGUCAGUGGAUUUUAUCUUCCCUCCCUUCUGCAGGCACCACUGUGUGUGAUGCAAGUUGCACUGAGCGUGUGGCACUGGGUGUGUGACUCCAGUGAGCACACCUCACUGUCUGGGUGGUAUUCGGGCACACAGCGGCAGGUACACAUGGAAGAAACGGCCAGUGGGAAGGUGUGCGGCCACUCAGCAGUACACCAGCAUCGCAGCACAGGACCUGGAGUCCACAUCUCACACCCUCUACCUUCUCAGGGGAGGCUGCAUCAUGUCAGAGCACACAAUUUUAAGGUUUACCAGUUGGCAGGGCAGCCCGUAAGCUAUGCAGUGAUGUCUUACUUUUAAUCCCCAGCAGUCCCUUCACCUACUAGAUCAACAUGUACCCUCCUUUGCAUAAUAUUUAGAAAAUUAAAGUGAGCCAAGACCUAUGCCUUGAACUUGACAGGUGUACGCUUUAGAAAGAUGUGACUACGUGUAACUGUUUUGCCUAUAUCAUUCCUAUCAGUGGAAAACAGUUUUGGAUUAAACAGGACAAAGAUGAUAUUGCAAAAAGGAAACUGAAGUGUAAUAUGGGUAAGAAAUGCACAGACACCCUUGGUCCCGCAGGGUUUCGAGCUCUCAUACCCAUUACAUCGCAGACAUUGUAUCCCAGAAUCUGUGGGAGAGAGACCAUGCCAUCGGUCUGCUAGUAAAUGUUUGAAUGAGUGAGUGAAUACACUGGAUGAGAGAUACAGCCAGGUGAAUUAUAAGAGCAGUUACUAAGUCUUUCUAAGCAUUUGUGGAUGUCCCUGAAGAAGUUUUCACUGGCCUGGGGAGAAAUAAGAAAAUGCAGCUGGAUGUGGUGGGGCACACCUAUAAUGCCAGCACUUGGGAGGCUGAGGCAGGAGAAUUGUUUUGAGUUCGAGGCCAGCCUGAGCUACAUAGUAAGCUGAAUGCCAGCUUGAAGUGCAUGGUGAGACCCUAUUUCCAAAAGACAGGAAAAAAAAAAAAAAAAGCAGAUCUAGGGCAUGGAAUGUAUAAAUUUAUUUUGUUGAGUAUGUACAUGUACAUAGACGGUUGUUGUCUUUUAAAAAUGCUGACCUUCAUUUUGAGAUUUUUAUUUAUUUACUUACUUUGCUGGAGAGUGAAGCCUGGACUUUGCACAUUCUAGACAAUACGCUACCAAAGAGCUGCUCCUCCAGCCCUUCUCUGAGCUGUUUGAACAUUAACAUUAAGAUAUGGUUAAAAGUAGCUAAUAAGCCUUUUCUGUUUUCUUCAAUACCCUCUUUGUCAAAAUAAAAAACUACUAAUCCUAGUCUGUCCCCCCAGUUUGAUUUAAAAUUUCUUGUUGAUCCAGGAAAUCCCAGUAUCCGGGAAUAACUGCGUGGAGAGUUGGCCUGAGUGCUCGGAGCUCGCUCUUCUCCC